ensembl:ncRNA asRNA:CR45830 antisense RNA:CR45830
AUCUGUAAUUAACUCAUAAGUGGUAUGCUCCAAUUAUCAAUUGAAGUGUGUCGGUCGCCCAGCCGUGGCAUUUGCCACCCGCAGGGUACAAAAUCGACGGAUUCCUUUGGUUGCAUUUCGAUGGACGGACACGAACGCGAUUGUCAUUGUUAGUCCUGCUUGGCAGUUAGUCGCGCGUUUAUAAUUAAAACGUAAUUGCCGCAAUAAAUUGCACAAACCGCAACUGCCAGCAGGAGCUGGAGCAGUAGUAGCCUUUUUCCAGCUGCCAGGAGCAGCAUUUUGCUGGUCCACGAGUGGCAGAAAUAGAGCUUUUGCCCGCCGAUUCCCAUUACAUGUGCCACCAAUGCAGGCAGCCAUAAAAAGAAAUGUCUGAUUACACUGGGUAGCAACCACCAGAUGGCUGCGAAACCUUCAAAUUAUGUCUACACUGCGUAUACGUAAUACGUGUCUUGAAGAGCAGGAAAUACUAUCAAACUAAUUCAAAAAAAAAUUAUUUUUUGUUAUAAAGAUAUAAAUAAUUGGCGUUGCCCAGUGUUAAAUGCAACCCGACGCCCUGGGAGAUACUCACAAUGUGGCGCCACCGAUGUACAUGCUGCCCUCGAACGGUCCGAACUCCUCCUCUGGCAGCAAAUCGAGCAUCUGGUAAUCGGUGUUUAUCAUGAAGCGCACAUGAUACUGGUUGUAGUCGAUCCAUAUUUUAUGCCAUUCGCCGCCGUUCAACCGUCGGUGCGAGUUAAUGACCAGCUCGCGGGUGGUACCCGUGCUCAGGGUGAAGGUGAACGUGAGCUGGUCAUCGCCGGUCAGCGCCACCAUGAACGAUGGAUAGUGCGGCCGGAUGGGUGGCUGGAAUAGCAGGAUGGCCUUCUCGCCGGUGGUGCGGAACGAGAAGGCAAUGUCGCCCUUCCUCCAGCCGGGCACCUCGAUGU